rnacentral:rRNA from 1 species
AGACCCGAAACCCGGUGAUCUAGCCAUGGGCAGGUUGAAGGUUGGGUAACACUAACUGGAGGACCGAACCGACUAAUGUUGAAAAAUUAGCGGAUGACCUGUGGCUGGGGGUGAAAGGCCAAUCAAACCGGGAGAUAGCUGGUUCUCCCCGAAAGCUAUUUAGGUAGCGCCUCGUGAAUUCAUCUCCGGGGGUAGAGCACUGUUUCGGCUAGGGGGCCAUCCCGGCUUACCAACCCGAUGCAAACUGCGAAUACCGGAGAAUGUUAUCACGGGAGACACACGGCGGGUGCUAACGUCCGUCGUGAAGAGGGAAACAACCCAGACCGCCAGCUAAGGUCCCAAAGUCAUGGUUAAGUGGGAAACGAUGUGGGAAGGCCCAGACAGCCAGGAUGUUGGCUUAGAAGCAGCCAUCAUUUAAAGAAAGCGUAAUAGCUCACUGGUCGAGUCGGCCUGCGCGGAAGAUGUAACGGGGCUAAACCAUGCACCGAAGCUGCGGCAGCGAACGUAUCACUUAAAGCGAUUCAGCGGGUUACGAUUGACGGAGCGAAGCGACGUCAAAGCGUAUACAAAGUCGAGUCGGUUUAAGGAUACGUUCGUUGGGUAGGGGAGCGUUCUGUAAGCCUGUGAAGGUGUGUCGUGAGGCAUGCUGGAGGUAUCAGAAGUGCGAAUGCUGACAUAAGUAACGAUAAAGCGGGUGAAAAGCCCGCUCGCCGGAAGACCAAGGGUUCCUGUCCAACGUUAAUCGGGGCAGGGUGAGUCGACCCCUAAGGCGAGGCCGAAAGGCGUAGUCGAUGGGAAACGGGUUAAUAUUCCCGUACUUGGUGUUACUGCGAAGGGGGGACGGAGAAGGCUAUGUUGGCCGGGCGACGGUUGUCCCGGUUUAAGCGUGUAGGUGUGUGUUCCAGGUAAAUCCGGUUCACUUUAACACUGAGGCGUGAU